rnacentral:rRNA from 1 species
UAGAGUUUGAUCAUGGCUCAGAUUGAACGCUGGCGGCAGGCCUAACACAUGCAAGUCGAGCGGAUGACGGGAGCUUGCUCCUUGAUUCAGCGGCGGACGGGUGAGUAAUACCUAGGAAUCUGCCUGGUAGUGGGGGACAACGUUUCGAAAGGAACGCUAAUACCGCAUACGUCCUACGGGAGAAAGCAGGGGACCUUCGGGCCUUGCGCUAUCAGAUGAGCCUAGGUCGGGAUUAGCUAGUUGGGUGAGGUAAUGGCUCACCAAGGCGACGAUCCGUAACCUGGUCUGAGAGGAUGAUCCAGUCACACUGUACUGAGACACGGUCCAGACUCCUACGGUAGGCAGCAGUUGGG